ACUCAACCUCCGAGAUUUCUCGUAUCCAGUCCUGGUGCGUUUCCCUCCCCUGCGAUUUCUUCUGGUUUUUCCCUCCACAAUCUUCUUUUUCUCUCAUUCACACAAACACAAUAAGCCCAACCCUAAUCUCUUGUUAAAACCUAGAAAGCCUAGAAAUCGAACUCCGUCACUGCAUUUAUAGCCUCUAUAGUUUUCAUACGCUCCCUAUUUUCUAAUCUCCCUCUCUCUACGUAGACGAAGCAGUUAUUCCCUCUCCGCGGCUUGCUCCUUAAUUCUCUGGUUUUAGCCGGAUCUACGAGUAGACGAUCAUCCGGACCUCGUAGCCGCCACGGAGGCUGUGGUUCCUCUUUACGUCGUAGGUAGCCGGAUUCUUUGUCGUGCGAUCUUGGAGUCCACGAUUAUCCGGGCCUUGUAGCCGUCUCCAAGUGUAAGGCCGUGGUUCCCCCUACGUCUUUGAUCAGCGGACUCUUUUUUGUGCGGUACAUAUAUCUGAUCCUGAGUUGAUGACACUGGGCUCAGAGGCAUGACGGAUAUGCAACCAGUAGCCUUGAGAAAUGCUGCGGAACAACUUAACGUAUGCUUGAAAAUUACUGUUAUGCAUGUUCUUGUUGAUGCUCAGGCGACAUGAAAUUAAUCCAACUGAGAUGUUGAGGAAACAGCAGGCACUGCAGUGAGCAUGCUCGCGUAACUUGAUGUCAUGAAAACAAAGCAAUAUGAAGAGUGCGUAAAAGAAGGCUCUGAGGUUUGGAAACUUUUUUUGAUUGUUGGAUUCUUUUUUAAUCCCUUUUCAUUUACUUUUAUAAAUUUUGGCUAAUGCAUAAUAGCCCUUCCUAUUAUCUAUUUAAUCUAAGGGUCUGUCAGAUACUUCGCGAAGGUGAUCAAAAUCCUGAAAUUUUGAGAGUUAUUUUGUUUUUCACUUACACACAUUCUUUUCUAAUUGAAGCAAACAUAUUUGUAACUUUCACGUUUUGGCUUAAUAUCAUGUGUCAUUGUUCUUUAUGGAAGGGGGUCAAGCUUAUUGAGAACAUUUGGAGGUGAGUUCAUCUGGGGAUAUCUGUUGUUGUUGGCGCACUGAAUUUUUAUAUUCUUUAAAAGUUGUGCAAUUAUUAAUCAUCUUGUGCUGCCACAAUAACUAUCUAAUAUUUGGUUGGAUGCUUUCUUGUAUUUUAGUAAGGCACCUGAAGGUUUCCCAGAUGAUGACCUUUUGCAGAUGUCUCAAGGUAAAUCUUUCCUAAUUUCUCAAGAUACUCUAAAGUUGAGGACUUUGUGGUUUUUGUCCAACAUGCUUAAAGCAUCGUCACUAAAAUCAGGUGAGUAGAAGGUCUAUAUCUUUGAACUGUUUUUACUGCUUGGGUAGAGCAUGAUUUUAAGAAUUUUGAACUCACGAGACAAAAGAUAUAUGCUCUUAUGGCACUAAAUAUGUGCGUUUGUGAACUAUCAAGUUUAAAGUAACCCAGUUGAGGAAAACCCUGUGGUCACCUUGCAUGUUAUUGUGGAAGUCCAAGUGAAAGGAUGCACCAUUUAAUACAACUGUAUUUAUGCGAUGGUAUGCUGUUUGUUAUUUUAGUCACGGCUUGCGGAGAUCCGGUAAGUUGUGGGUUAUGGAAGUAUUGUAUUUGUAAUGCCCUUGAUGCAGUUUUUAAUUAUGGGGUGAUGCAAAUCUGUCUGUUAUAAAAAAAAAAUGUUGGCUUUGCCUUCUUUUUUAAUUGGGCUGAUUAAUACCA